GCCCACGUGGCGGAACUGGUAGACGCAAGGGACUUAAAAUCCCUCGGCCGCAAGGUCAUGCCGGUUCGAGUCCGGCCGUGGGCACCA
rnacentral:tRNA from 1 species